GAUGAACGCUGACAGAAUGCUUAACACAUGCAAGUCGAUGGGGAAGUGGUGCUUGCACCAUGGUAACCAUGGCGGACGGGUGAGUAACGCGUAAGGAACUUGCCUGCGGGACUGGGAUAACAGCAGGAAACUGCUGAUAAUACCGGAUAAGGUCAUUAAGCUGCAUAGCUUAGUGAUGAAAGGAGACGCCUGCGGAGAGCCUUGCGUCCUAUUAGCUAGUUGGAGGGGUAACGGCCCACCAAGGCGAAGAUAGGUAGCCGGCCUGAGAGGGUGGACGGCCACAAGGGGACUGAGAUACGGUCCUUACUCCUACGGGAGGCAGCAGUGGGGAAUAUUGGACAAUGGGGGCAACCCUGAUCCAGCAAUUCUGUGUGCACGAAGACGGUUUUCGGAUUGUAAAGUGCUUUCAGCAGGGAAGAAGGAAGUGACGGUACCUGCAGAAGAAGCGACGGCUAAAUACGUG
rnacentral:rRNA from 1 species